UUGAUUAUACAUGAUCAUGUGUUCUGAAUAUACAGUGCAUAAACAAUCACAUUCCUGUCCCACAGUUCUCUUCUGCACUUCUGCAAUACUUAAAAUCAUUACAUCAUGAAUUCUCAGUCAUGCAUUUAAGAAAAUCUGAUGGAAAUAGAUUUAGGCUAGUGUUUGUUUUUUUCAUCUGUUUUUGCGUCAAUCAAAAGAUGCAUAUUCUAGCUCUUUUUGGAUUUGGAUUUUUAUUAUGUUAGUAUGCUGUAUUAACGUUACUGGUUAGCAUGUUUGGUUCACAUAAGUAAUUUGACUCUCUACCAUUAGGCCACAAAUGCCCCCAGAACUAAUAUCAGAAAAGGUCAAAUUCUUGGUGUAUUGAGUUUAUUGGAAGACUGUGGCAUUUUCUUAACUAAUCACUGCAAAUCUGGUUUGUUCAGCUCAUUUGUUUAAAUCUUUUUCUACCUUCCCGUGGUAUCAGAAUUAUCAUAAAUGCGAGUUUUCUAUUCGUAAAUUGGACGUGAAUGGCGUCUCAGGUCGUAUUUAAAAAACGGGACUCUUAGAUCUUUUUGAUACUGGAGUUUCCAUGUUAGGCGGGCCUUAAAGGGAUAGUUCACCCAAAAAUGAAAAUUACCCUCUUGAUUUACUCACCCUCAAAGCGUAGGUGUAUAUGACUUUCUUCUUUCCGAUAAAUACAGUCAGAGUUAUAUUUAAAAAUGCCCUGGCUCUUCCAAGAUUUAUAAUGGCAGUGAAUGGGUGUAGAGAUUUUGAAGCCCAAAAAGGGCAUCCAUCCAUCAUAAAAAGUGCUCUACACAGCUCCGAGGGGGUUAAUAAAGGCCUUCUGAAUCAAUCUGUUUGUUUAAAAAAAAAAACUAUCUGUAUUUAAAACUUUAUAAAGCAUAAUCUCUAGCUUUCGCUAACUAACAUGUUCACGAGAGAGUGGCGUUCAUAAAUCAUGGGGUGUAUUUACCAGAGGCGGACAGAAGUGAAGUAUUUUUACUCUGCAGUCAAAGUAAUUUUGAGGUGUCAGUAAUUUAUCAGUGUUUUUCUUUAGAAAACCUUAAUCCAAAGCAUAAUAAUGUACUUUUUACUGCACUACUUUUCAUAUUAAAUAUAAUUCAAUACUUAAUUACAUUAGAAAUCUUUUACUUUCUGACUAAUGUAAUUCAAAGAUUUAUUUGAGUACAAGAAAGUACUAAAUUUUUUUCAUGUUCUUACGUAUUAAAGGUACAAACAGCCACAAAAAAAUUUUACUUUGUGAAACAUAGUGCGGUAAAAAGUAUGACAUUAUGCUUUUUUCCAAAGAAAAACACUGAUAAACUACAGAUACUUCUUAAAUUUACUUGAGUAAAGUAAAAACACUUCUACUGUCCACCUCUAUUUACACACACAAAUUAUCUUUUGAUGCAAA